rnacentral:lncRNA from 1 species
UAGGCAUGUGUGUGAAUGUGUGUGUAUGUAUAUACUUGUGUGUGUCUGUAUAUGUGUAUAUAUACAUAUACAUAUAUAUAUAUGCAUACUGUGAGUGUGUAUGAAUAUAUGCAUGUAUGUGUAUGUGUGGGCACACAUGUGUGUCUUUAUGUUUGUGCACAUGGCUGAGGGUAUGCUUGUGUGUAGGCCAGAGAACAUCCUUGGAGUUUCUGUUGAAGCUCAGUCCACCUUAUUUUAAAACAGGUUCUCUCGCUCUCUUGGAAUUGGCCAAGUGAGCGAGAUGGACCAUCCAGAGAGCCUCAGGGAUGAGCCUGUCUCUGCCCUCCCAGGUCUGGGAUUUCAGACAUGUGACCCUGUAUAGGUGGGAUCCGGGAAUCAGAUGCAGGGGUGAGACUUUCAUGCCUGCACAAGAAGCACUUUACUGAUAAAACCAUCUUCCCAGCUCAGCACUUGCCAAACAUUUAAUGUCAGCAAUCAUCUAGGUUUUUAGCUUCUUUCGAAAAACAGACAGGCCAUUCCGAGGCCACUGCUUCGACCAAGUGGCCGUAGAAAUGGGAUCCAAGUUGAAGGAGCUUUGCAGUGUUCCCGCACUCCCUUCUUCUGUCUGGUUUUCUUCCCAGAUGUAUUUGUUCUGUUGAUCACUGGGCUAAACAAAGAAUCUCUACUCUCCAAUGCUUGGGAUUCGCAGGUUUUCAGUGUGGCAUGAUAAGCAGGUCCCCCUUUACUUCUUGUUUUUGACAUCGAUGGGAAUGAACACCGUGAAGAUGUGGCGGCUUUCUCAUGGGGCAGUUCCCUAGCAAAGUGACAUUUCAGAUUCAAGGAGGCAAGCCAAGUCAUAAUUGGCCCUGUCACCAUCUGAGGUUGACACUGGCACCUCUUGUGUUUGCCCUGGUUGAGUAAUCUGUUUGUGUCUGAGGAGGCCACACACAGGCAGAUGUGAGCUCUGUUUACAUCCAUUUUCUGCUUAGAAACUUGGUUCCUCUGGGUCACAGCUCUGGAACAACUGAAAGAUUGGAAAUUUACUGGAACGAACUUGGUCAGAACGACUUCCCUGGAGCUGGUUGUGGUAGUCGACCUUCACUUUCCCCAGGUUUCAGCAAAGCAGACUUCUGACUGACAGCCCAGGCGACGACAGCAGCUGUGUGAGUGCCAUGUCUGAAUGUUCUCGGGACACCAAGUCAUCCCCUUAUAUGGAUGAAAGGACCGAAGCUGGAAUUGUUUAAAGAGACGGGGCAGAAUCUAACAGCGUUCUGUGGUGAAGCAUGGUCACAGUCUCAGAUGCUUGGGAGGCAGAAGCGUGAGACCAAGGCAAGAGGAGGGAGACAGGGGGAGACACUUUCUGGUCUCUCAGCCUUGGAAUGUGAAACCAGGAUGAGGGGAGAAUGGGAUGUCACUGAGGGAGGGUCUUACUUUACUUCUCUUAGUAGGUUAUAAGCCAACUUGGGAGAGGAGGAAGUGGCAAGAUGCCCUCCCCAUCCCAGGAGACUCUCUGGUGCCAGCAAUCCUCCUAUCUCUAGCCCUGCCCAGAGCUCUGGUUAGAGGUACAAGCUGCUCCCAUGCUCAGUGGUCACUUGGGGGUGGCUGUCUGAACUCAAGCCAUCAUAAACACCCCUCAAACAUUCUUACCCUCCUGUCUUCCACCCAGCCCACUGUCCAUGCAUUCUCAGCCUGUCUUCUGUAGACCACUCUCUCCUGCGUUGUAAACUCAAGGAGAUGGAGACCGAGAUGAUAAAGCUGUGGGAUGGCAGAGGAACCAUUCCCACCCACAGGAGAUGGAGGCUAGAAGCCAACAUUGGACAGCCGUCAUGACUGCUGCCUUUGUGUGCGAUGCUCAGAAGGCUCUACUGCCAGCCCGGUUUUUCCCCAUUCCCUUCUUAAUUCCAGCUUUGUUCCCAGUCAGUGUGACAACUGUUUGCAGGUCAUUUCUGAAUGACUUGACCACUGUUCAGUCUGCUUUUCAUUGUGACUUCAAAUUUCCACACAACAGGGGAAAAUCUGAGCCUGGACUCUGUAAGGGCUGGACUCUCUAUUCAAAAUUAGACUUAAUUUUAGUAAGUUUCUAUGGAAUCUGGGAUUUAUUCUAUGUACAGAAUUAUAGAAAUCACAUAUUUUAUUAUUUAUUUUCUCGAUCUUUCUUCCCUAUCACAUCUACCUACCUACCUAUCUAUCUAUCUAUCUAUCUAUCUAUCUAUCUAUCUAUCUAUCUAUCUAUCUAUCCACCCAUCCGUCUACUAUCUAUCUCUGUCUGUAUGUCUUUUAUCUAUCUAUCUAUCUAUCUAUCUAUCUAUCUAUCUAUCUAUCUAUCUAUCUAUCCAUCCAUCUACCUACUAUCUAUCUGUAUGUAUGUCUGUUGUCAACCAAUCAAUCAAUCUAUUUAUCUAUCUAUCCAUCCAUUCAUCCAUCUGUCUACUAUCUAUUUCUGUCUGUAUGUCUGUUGUCUGUCUAUCUAUCUAUCUAUCUAUCUAUCUAUCUAUCUAUCUAGUAUCUAGUAUCUAUCUCUUGUUAUGAAAGAGAUUCUCACAUGGCCCAGGAUGGCCUCAAACUCACUAUAUAUAUGAGCAUGAACUUUGAACUCAUGAUUCACGAUCCUCCUGCCUCUAUGUUCUGAGAGUUAGGAUUAGAGGUGUGUGCCAGCUUCCCAGUUCAGAGUGGUUUAUAUCAAGCCAUAGGUUGUUGCACUUUCUCCAAACAAGGCCUUAGAUUUUUUCAAGAGUCUGCUGCAUUCAUGAGCCAUGCAUCAAGAGAUCCUGGCAUCAAAAGAUUCUGAUGCAGGUGCUGAGUGUCCAGGUGGCCAGAUGGCCAUUUGCUUGAGGCGUUUGACUGAGCCAGGGAUGGUUAUGAUGGUGGUCCAGUGUUUAGUGGCCAAUCUUAGGGUGCCGGGAAGGCUGCUUAAUCUCUGCCUGUCUGGAUUGUCAGCCAUCAAAAGGUCUCUCACCUCUGAGCGUCAUGUCAUUCUUACGUUUGUUUAGAAUCUCCAAUUCUGGGGAACUAGUUAAUAAAACUUCAAGGGCUGGCAAAUGGGCAGGCCAUAAGCCACCAGCAAAGACCAGUGUGUUUGUAGCCCAUGGUUUUGGCAUACAGCCCUGCUUGCUCUGGUUAAUUAUUCCGUAAGCUUUUCUCUUCCACAGCAGAAGGCCAGUCAGGAUAGGGCUCCUGUUUUAUCUGCUUGAGACUGGACCAAUUAGUACCCAUCCCUGUGAUGGAUAAGCUUUGAGGUUCUUAAUAAAUCAGAUGAGUCCUGCAUUGCUGCAUAAACCUAGGUCUCUGAAAAGAUCUCCACAUCUCCCAGGGGUGGGUUUCCAUUAGGAAACGACAACAUCAUCAUCAUCAUCAACAACAACAACAACAUCAACAUCAACAACAAAGUCUAACAUCAACCACUUAGUCUAAGGCUGAGCUAGGCUAUGUAAACUCCUAUGAAAUGAAAAGGAAAGGAAAGGAGAGGAGAGGAGAGGGGAAGGGAGGGGAUGGGAGGAGAGGAGAGGUAAGAAAAAGAGGGAGGAAGGAGGGAAGGAAGGAAAGAAGGAGGGGGAGAGAAAUAAGGGCUCAGUUCAGGUUGCCUGUGGAGGGGUGUCCUUCAGAAGCAGGCUAAAGAAACAUUCAUGCUAGCACAGUAUCUGGUGUGUGGCCUGCAGGCCUCAGUGUGUGCCAUGGUUUCUCGUACCCCAGCUUGGUGCUUUCCCAGCAUGGUGCUGUCCCUGCUUUGGUGCUGGGCCUCCAGGAUGUUUUAUUCAUCACAACAUUGAAAGCAGUGGCAAAGUGGCCUCCUCUUCAGAGCUGUGUCCCCCAUGGUAAGCCUGAGGGGCCAUCAGCCCGACUUCUGUGGCCUCUUGUGUGUUAGCCAUGAUUCAAUAAAUAUUCAGUCUGCUGAGGGGCACACAGACAUCAUGGAAAAUUCUAGAAGAAAGAGGUGACACAUUCUUGGCCUUGGGACAUCUCGUGAGCUUACAGGAGAGACAGAAUCAGUAUAUUAAAAACAUGCCAAAACCUUUAAAACCCUAAGGUCAGAUGGACUUAGAUAAAAUUCAUGAAUCUAGUUAACAUGCUCACAAACAGCCCUUUAUGCAUACACAGGUAUCUCCAGCACUCACUGGGAAAUGGCGGAAGAGGUUAGAGCGAAACAAACGCAGCUUGCCACUAGAGCAGCUUCUCACCCCCUAGAGAUGACUCCGAGACAAGGCCUUGGAAACAAGUUCUGUGAGAGACCUAACCUCCGGAGGACAGGGAGGACAGGGAGGACAGGGAGUCAGGCUGAGGAGACGGUUUGGGCAGGAAGGUUCUUGCCGUGCAAGCAUGAAGACCUGAAUUCAAGCCCAAGAACACAUGGGCAAAGCUCCUCUAGGUGUGGCAGCUGCUCCAGAACACAUGGGCAGAGCUCCUCCAGGCAUGGCAGCUGCCCCAGAACACAUGGGCAAAGCUCCUCCAGGCGUGGCAGCCUGCAGCUGGAAUCCCAGCACUGAGGAAGGAGUGACAAGGUCCAGCCACAUCAGCAGGUGUCAAGGUCAGUGAGAAACCUGGCUUCAAAAAAUAAGAUAAAACGUGACUGAAAGACUUUAGUGUUUACCUCUGACCUCCACAUGGACACACAUGUGUACCUGCUACAUGCAUACAUGCAAGACAUGCCCAUACACAUAUGUGCUUACACUCAAACAUGUGUACACACACACACACACACACACACACACACACAGAGAGAGAGAGAGAGAGAGAUAGAGAGAUAGCCACAAUGAACAGCUAAACUUCAAGCCCAUGGGACAAUCCUGGGAAACACUUUAGAAUAUUUGCCUUAAAAUUAUGCAUUAGAUUUCCUCUCAGACUCUCAUCAAAGACUUACAUAUUCCCGGUCUGCCAUACCCAGAGAAGAUAGUCUCUGGAGAAAACUCUCUUACAAAGAGGUGUUGUCAUUAGCAUUUGAGGUAGGUAUGCCUUGACAGGACCAGAGGGAUCUGGGUGAAGGGCCACCAUCAUGCGCAGCAUCUUGAUGGACAGAUGAGAACUCUGGUUUGCAAAGUGUAGCAGCAAAUUCACAUUUUGGGGGAAACAACUGUCUAUGGCGGCCCAGAGCAAUAGCAGAUGACAGAAGCAGUUGGCUUCCUUACAUAAUUCUUCAGAGGGAAACUCAUGAAGCAAGGCAGAACAGAGCAGGCUAUCAGCAGAAAACCGGAACAGAGUGGGCUGUGAAGAUCCAGGCUGCGCCGGCCUUUUAAUUUUGGAUGCCCAGUUAGCCACUGGACACGUGUCAGGCUGUGCGUGACUUUUCCUGGGGAGACAUUAAGUGCCUGGUCACCAGUGACGGAACAAAUAAUUGAUUCCACCCAAGUCAACUUGCACCAGUGCGUUUAGCCAUUUACGGGAACAUGGGUGAAGACUUUCUUAGGAGAGUAUGGACAACCCAGAGGCAGCUACACUAUGGAGAAAGAAACCCACCCCAGCAUGGGUGAGGGCUGUGUCUCUGGAGUUCAUAGCUUGUCCUGCAGGCAGCCCCGCCACCGCAGAGACGCUCCUCCCAGCACCUGUCUACUGCUUGGCUUUAACAACCUGGCUGUGAAUCUUUCCUGGACCUUGGAAGUUCCUUUGGUUUUCUGAAUUGUGUGAGCUUCUUCCUCUAUCCCAAGGGAAAGUUCAGCCUGCACAGAAUGGAUUCGUAACGCAAGUGCAGACAGUAUUCCCCCGUGGGUGAACAAAAGAGUCGGUGGUGUGAAGUCCCGUGGUAUGAAGUCCCGUGGCAGAGGUCACUUCAGAAAAAUGAGGCCUGCAUGUGAUCCAAGAGGGCAUAGGUCAACAAUGAGCAUCCAUCCUUCAGCCUGAGUAGGCUGAAGAGGCAGGCAGGAGCCAGGGUACUGGAGGGCUUGUGGCUCCCACUCUUAGUAACUGGUGAGUGGACUGGGAGUGGUCAGUGCCUUCUAGAGCGAUGAGGUUUGCUCCCCUCUCACAGCCUGUCAGAUGCAACAUCUCUAGACAGGCGGCGGAUGGGGAAAUCGAAGACUGCCAGAGGCUCUUUAUCACCGGCCACUGUGUAGUUAUCAAUGGAUUUCUACAAAAGGCCUGCAUCCCAGGCUUCAGGAAGUGCUUCCUGCAAGGACCUGUGUGUGUCAGUCUUUGCCAAUAUCUAUGAUUCAUGUGUUUUACCUGACUGUCAGUUGCCCUCGCAGAUGUACCCAGGAAUUUCCUUAAGAGUACAGGUCGAACAUUAAUUACCCAUCAUUGUAUCAAAGCAGAGGAUCAAAGAUGGGUGUGGCGGUGUACUCCUGUAAUCCCUGCCUUCCAGAGGCUGGGGAGGGAGCAGUUUGAAGUCAGGCUCAGCCUGGAAUACAUCCUCAAAACAAGCAAAACGAGCUCAUGCACGCGGUCGUCUUCGGCCAUCCUGUAAUUCAGGUUCAAAGUGGAGGUCCAGAGCAGGGCGUCAGGAUACACCGAUGGUGGAGGGCUUUAAUGGGGGAGAAAAUGUAAAGCAAACACGGGGCACUCGCUUGUGCUGCUAAACACUCAGUGGCACAGCUGUGUCUGUGGAAGAAGGAGGGAGGGAUGAAUCAGGCUGGUCCAGCCAUGAGGCAGCAGCUGCACCAGUCGUGAGGAUGGGAGGAGUGGAGGUCGGGUUGAGACUGGUAAGCCACUUCAACAGAUGCUGAGAUACAGGAGGGCGAACCACAGAAACAGCAAUGCGAGGGAGGACUUAGAGAGGGCAGUCAAGAAAGGAAAUAAAAUGUAAAAGUUUGGAAGAUGAACCUUCUUCUCUGCCUAAGUUUUCAGCCACGGCUUCCUGUCUAGGAAGAAUCUUGUCAUUUUCAACACUAAAGCUAUUGCCCAGGUGACAGAAUAAGCCCGGAACAGGAUAGCCUCGGGGUCCUUGUGAUUACCUUAACUCAAAGCAAGUGUCAAGACCUAUUCCUUAGUCAGGGCUGCUGCAUUUCAGGCGCUGCAUGGUUGUAGUAACUGGUGAACACAGGCCUCCAAGAGCAUUUCUGCCACCACAGAAAGUUCUGCAGUGGCCUGUAAGUGUGGUGUGCUAUCGGCAGCUGCGUUUGUGUGCGUGAGUUUCUAUAGUUGCUUCGAUCUCUGUGCUUCUGGGUAGUGUUUCGAUUUUUGAUCCCAGAGUGGGUGAUUCAUCCUGUGCCAAUUAGGGUCAUGGGUUCUCUGAAGGGCACAGUGGUAGUGCUGGGCUUUCUGUGACUUGAGGGGGGUGUGGGGAGGUCAUGGGUAGAGCCAUGUAUCUCUUAUGACUUUCACACUCCAAUUUGGUGCUCUCCUGUCCCACACGAGAUGCCCAGUUGGGAUAGCAUCUGCUUCCCUGUUCCAUAGGCUCUCUAGAAUCAACAAACUAUGCUAGACUGAAUCGAGGGUCAGAAGGGAUGUGCUUAGAGCUUUGGAGGCUUGCCGGGAAGCUGAGUAAUGAGAUGACUUCAACCCAGAGUCUGCUAGAGAGAAGCCUGGGAGGUUGAUAUCCCCACACUCCAUCUGCCCAGCCUUUCCCUGGUGGCUAUCCCAGGGCAGGGGGCCCAGGGAGAACCUCUUGUUAAUUUCCAACUGCCUUUUGCUCUAUUGUAUAGUAUUCCAGUGACAGAAUCCACUCAAGAGAGUUGGGACCGAGGUUAUCAAGGAGCUGAGUUCUGAGUUCAGGUGCCCACGUGGCAGAGGAAUGACGCCUCCUGGCCCUUCAGACCUUUGAGACGGCCGGGAGGCCCUAGAAAUCACCUCAAGUCUCCAGUCCAGGACACAGCUGCCUAGGGGAGUCCCAGGGAAAGGCGGCAGAGAUUGCAUGGCCCGUGGCGGACUCCAGCGCAACCUCUGCGGAAUCUACCUGAUUCCAAACCACUGGCACUUCCGGCGCGCAAAGCCCCUUGCGGAGAGGAGGCAAGAGAAGCCAGCUGGGAAGAGGCCCAUCACUUGGCUACAAAGCAGAUGGACCACCUCCUCAGGGCUCCUGGAAACUGCUGAAGCACGAUGAGGGAGGUGACAUUACUCACAGGAAGGAAUCAAGCAUUUACAGUGGACUUGAGACUGCAUCCUUCAGACUGAAGUCCUGAGGCCCAGUUCUGAGUCAGACUCUCUCUCUCUCUCUCUCUCUCUCUCUCUCUCUCUCUCUCUCUCUCUCUCUCUCUCUCAUUUUUCUUUUCUUGGCUCAGGAAAUUUUAACCAGGAAUUGCUUUAAUAGGUAUAAUUAGCUAUAGUUUUGUUCCCUAAUCAGCCUUGUUUCUAAACACAUUACUAGGAAUCUAGGAGGGUCCAACCAGCGCCACAGCAUAUUAGCUGAAGAAUCCAAAGUCUACUCUUGGAGUUCAUAAGUCCCACUAAUAACAAUAAUAUAAGAGCUGACCCAAAAGAAGUUCAAGGACGUUUAUUAUUAGCAUUUAAAAAUAUAAAGCAGGAGAAGGCAAAACUGUGAAUCUCAGCAGCUGCCCAGAGGAGAAAGAUGGAGAAGGCAGUGUGGUCCUACAGCUUAAGCUAAGCCAAGAUGAAGGUCAGCCAUAAGGCAGGCAAGCAGCCACCAGGUACGGAGGGAGGCUCUGCAGAAAGGCCAGAGGGGUCAGGAAAGGUGCUUCGAAGAGAGAUGGAAGCAAGGGAGCGCUGUGAUUUUCUGAGUGGUUCAGCAAGGCAGGCAAUCUCAGGUGCACAGGGCUACACUAGUGGGUGGGAGUUCUGCAGAGGGAAAGAACUGUAUCUAAUUAAAUGUGUAAUUAUUCCUCUUAUCUCGUUAUAAGGAUUAAAUUGGUCCGUCCUUCUUGAGGGAUAGUCCCUUCGCCAGGUGGUUGACCUGCCCAAUUAGAAUGUUGGGUAUCCACCUAGGCCAUUCUCUUGAUCAGAAGGAAAUAGUUUUCCUUUAAUGUUACUGUAACAGAUUUUGUUGCCAGAGAUUUCCUGAAUUGAGUCUUAGGCUAGGUAGUAUAUGGGGCCAUGUUGUUGGUCUAGCAUGGAUCUCAUCUUUAGGUUUAAAAUGCAUGUCCUUUAUGUUUUUCUCAAUCUUGGAUUCAGGUCAUGACAUAUAGGAGCCACGUUGCUCAGCUACCAAAGACUCCUUUAACUAUGGAACCAGGCACAGUUAACACAGUCAAACGUGUGUUACACCUGGGGCUCAUGUGCAUUGUUUGCUAUGAACGUUGAACUACAAAGGAGCAUUCACCCCACAGGUUGAGAUUCAGGUCCCCUCUGGUCCUACAGCUAGGACAGUAGACAAUGCUUUAAAUAUCAAAAGGGACUUUCAGAUACUUUGAAUCCUUUGGGCAACUUUGGGUGGUUUCGCUACGCCAUUUCCUAAGGUCACAUAGGACUCGUAGAUCAAUGGCCUUACCAACGGCAUUGUCCAGGCCUCUGUGGAUCUGCCGAACUGGGAAGAGCUAAAGCAAAGACAUGCCUCUGCAGUGGGGCUUGGCAGUGGGGAUGUCUCUGUGUCUGUCCUGUAACCACGUCUGCCUUACAAUAAAAUACCUUGGUUGAUUCAGCAAUAAAGUCUCUGUCGGUUUCCU